rnacentral:lncRNA from 1 species
GGGAGGGGAGAGGAGAAGGGAGAGAGAGGGAGAGAGGAAUGAGAGGAGGGUCAGGGCCGAGUGCACGACGGCAGAGUGCAGCAGGGGUUCUUCCGGCAGGUGAUUUUUUGCAAAAGCGAUGCGAAAUCGGAAUUUUCCCUUCUUAGUAUUGAAAUAUUUUGGAACUCAUGCGACGUGCCGCUAUGAAAUCGAAUCGUGGUCACCAUUGUCCAGGAGGCUCCCUAGACCCGAAGUCGAUUGGUGGAAAAUUGGAGGAUUUUUUUACAAAAUUCCACGCACCUGCCUGCUAGUGGACAGC